GACGAACGCUGGCGGCGUGCCUAAUACAUGCAAGUAGAACGCUGAAGGAGGAGCUUGCCUCUCUGGAUGAGUUGCGAACGGGUGAGUAACGCGUAGGUAACCUGCCUGGUAGCGGGGGAUAACUAUUGGAAACGAUAGCUAAUACCGCAUAAUAGUAGAUGUUGCAUGACAUUUGCUUAAAAGGUGCAAUUGCAUCACUACCAGAUGGACCUGCGUUGUAUUAGCUAGUUGGUGAGGUAACGGCUCACCAAGGCAACGAUACAUAGCCGACCUGAGAGGGUGAUCGGCCACACUGGGACUGAGACACGGCCCAGACUCCUACGGGAGGCAGCAGUAGGGAAUCUUCGGCAAUGGACGGAAGUCUGACCGAGCAACGCCGCGUGAGUGAAGAAGGUUUUCGGAUCGUAAAGCUCUGUUGUAAGAGAAGAACGAGUGUGAGAGU
rnacentral:rRNA from 1 species